UGUUGAAUGUUUGUAACAUGGAUAAAUGAGUGAAUAAAUGGUCCACUCUGGAGUUAUAGGAGGAGAAUUAUGCUAUGUUUGCUCAACACAGUAUUGUAUAGGAUUCCCACAUCAAAUGGAAAAACCACUUUUGAGGUGCUUACAAAUCCACAGUAAAUAUCCUAUUUGAGUUAAAUACAUCCAUUCAAUACUGUCCACCUCUCCAACCUCUCACUUUACAUCUCAGUAUUCAUGUGCCAGUCUUUUGUGGCUUCUUUCUCCUUGCUAUGCUUCUAUGCUCUACAGGGCAUUUGCACCUGCUGAUCCUCUAUUUAGAAAUCUUGUCCUUUUCUUCCUUACCAUGUUAAUUUCAUCUUAUCCUCAGAUCUCCCACCCUAGUGUUCACUUCCUUAGGGAAGGCCUUUCUCACCUCCUUUACCGCUACUAAUGAAAAUAGUAAGAGUGGAGGUAAUAGUAGCUAGCAUACUAUAUGACAGGCACUGUUAUGAACAUUUACACUGAUUAUCUCAUAUAAUCCCCCACAGCAAUCCUCUGAGACAGGGACCAGCAUUAACUCCAUUUAAAAAUAAGGAAAAGAAGCCCAGAGAAAUUAGGCAGUUUAUCUAAGCUAACAUAGCUAAAGCAUACUGAGCUUUAUCUUCUUCUUCUUCACAGUAUCUUCUUCAUAGUUCCUAUCACAGGUACAAUUUGCCCUUCAUCCACGCAAAUUGUUGAUUGAUAUUUUUGUAACCCAGAAUACUGAAAGCUCACUAAGGUACCUAUAUCCCUAGCUCCUUAUAUAACGCCAGAGGAAGUUUAGAUAAUCAAUAAAUAUUUGCUGGAGGAAUGUAUUGUUUGGUUUGAUCCAAUAUUUCAGGCUAGUAUUGAUAGGGAAUGCUCCUGUUUCUCUGUAACCGUCAGAAGGGAAUUUGAACAGCACAUGUUAGCAUGCAAUCUUUGAAUUAGACUUCUAUUUCUCACCGUGCCCUCUAUAAUGAUAGAGAGAGACUAUGUGUGACGACAUAGGGACAGAUGAUCUCACAAAGACAUCCCUACUAACCACACACCCCUCUGGCCACAAAGUAUGUGAUUUCAGUCCCAGCAGCCUAAUAUCUGGUUAGUGAUGGAGCACGUUGCUGCACAUAAUCCUGAAACAAUAUAUUUUGUCAUUUUAAAAAAUGUUCUGCAACAUGUUUUCCUUUUGGCCCAGUGGCAAUGUUAUAUCAUCCUCCAGGAAUGUUGCUUUUGUAUCCAAGGGCAAAUUUGGCCUAGAGAAAUGUUAUCAGUGGUUCACCAGAGGUUUAAUUGUAUGCUUUGAAUGGCAGAAGAGGGGAAAUCCUAAAAAUUCAGGUUAAACCUAUUAAGCUGAACAUCCUGGUUUGGGUUGGCUGCCAAAAUACACUGUGAUAAGAGUUUCAAAAGCUAAUAACAGAGGGGAUUAAAUUGGUGUCCAUUACAGAUUUGUGGAAAGCUUUUUCUUUGCAUUAAGACUUAAUAUCUGAACUGAGUAAGGUUUUCACCCUUUAAUUUUUUGCUUCAUUUGCCUAUAGUUGUCACUUUGGCCCAUGGAUCCAAUUUUCUUCAUAGUGUCUUGCCAUCAUUUCUUCAUCAGAAAAUAUGGUGAAAAUUCGAAGUAGCAGACUCUUCUUAAGAGCCUUCAUUUCCAUAUGGGAAGCAAUGGAAUGGGGAAAACAGGACACCAAAUAAACCAUGUUUAAAGUUAUAAAUUAUUCAUGGGUUACAGUUUUCCUUGAAAAUGAGAUGUUGCUUCUUAAUUCCUCAUUGACAAAUCUCUUUGGGGGCUGUGUCUCUACCUAUCUAUUGUGUCUAAGUUCUGUGGCCAGUGAAGUGGAUGCUUUGCCAAAUUGUGUAGGGCGUCUAGCCCAAACAUUUUCCUGUAAUGUACAAUUAAUUUGGGAGAGUUUUGUUUCCCUUUGCACUUUGCUAUGAAUCUUUAAAAGCCUACAGUAUAACACAGGCUCACCUAAUUGCAGAAGUGUUGGAAACUUAACCAUGUUCUCUGAACUUUGAAUAAUUUUCUAGGCAACAGUCUCUGCACACAAAAUAAGUGAACUAGCACAUUUUAAGGGACAUCAAUGGCUUGAAAUCAGAAGAUCUGGGGUCUGUUCCUUAUGUUGACAAAUGUUUUGGACAAUCUUGGGCUAAUCACUCAUCUCCUGUUUCUAAAGUAUGGUGUAUAAUCCCUAAGCUGCCUUCCUGCCAGUGCUGAGUUGAAGCAAUUAAUGUCAUUGAUUUCCAACUUUCUUGCCACCAAGAGUCAUUUUAUUAGCUCCUCCCUCAGUACUGUCAUUGAUGUCAUGGAAAGACUUUUUUCCCUUACCUUAUAUACUGUAUUUUAAAAACUAAUAACUGAUUUCCUAUUUUAAUGAAUGAAAGGCAUAUUUCACUAGAAUUCUAGUAAGAACCCAGAGGACCUUGAUGUUUUAAUUAGACUAUAAAAUAUUUCUCAAGUAAUGGUAUGGUUUCCAUUUAAUGUGGUUAAACAGACUAACAUUCAAAUAACUAAACAAUUCAUAGAUACCCCUGUGAUUUCAGGGUCUCCAUAUUGAGAAUGGCUAAGUAGAGAGCAGUGAGCCUUUGUCAAUGAGUGCAGAGUUUCUUUAAAUUCUCAAUUUUGAACAUAAGUGCAUUUUUAAUUAUUUCAGUCCUAGAGGUGAGGAAAAAUGUCACUAGGAUGAGGUGUGGAGACAAAAUGGUAAAGUCAUUCAGGUGGAAUAGUCAGUCACACAAUAUUGUCAGAAGCUUCCAGUGCUACUUGUUACCUACCAUGUGACAUCUGUGAUCAUGACAAGACCACCAGAUCUGUCAGAGCCUAGCCAUGAAGUUAUGAGAUCUUUCUGUAAGGGAUAUAAUGUCAGAGACUAUUUUUUUCAGCACUCUGAUGUUGUAGGAAAAGUCUGUGAUUAAAUUCUGACUCCAUCAACUUUCGGCUGUGUGAAUUUGAAUGAGCUAUAUAAGCUGUCUCUACCUCAGUUUCCCAGCUGUAAAAUGGGAGUAACUACCUCAUAGAAUUAAAGUCAGGUAAUAAAUGUUGAAAAUCUGCCAUAUCAUAGACAUGUAACAGACAUUCUGUCUUUACGCCAUUCUUACUAAUACAUUACAUGGGACAGACCAGGCUGUUAGUCACAGAUCCUUCUUUCUAGGCUUUACAGUACAAUUAUAACCUACCAAAGAGGUGAUGAAGGCUUUGACAAUCCACUUGGAGUAGCUGUCAAUGACUAAGUCUCCAAAUAGCUGAAACAAGUUUAUCAAAUAAUCAAGGUGGCUGUCAUUCCCUCCCCUUUUAGAGUUUCUUAUAAUACAUAUACUUCAAUGAAAACUUUGGCAAGCAUUCGGAAGCUUUUAGACCUCAGAAGGGCCAGGGCUGAUCGCCAUCACUCAUAGUAAGCUCCAAUCCUCCUCCAGCCCUACUUUUGUUGCUCUUCAGGGCAGGAAGAGAAGUGUGUCAUAUGCUGGGCUCAGCUACGUCCAGGCCCAUCUUUAGAGCAAGUCUCCACCAAGAGACACUGAAUCUGGGGAUCUCCCAUUCACAAAGCUAAAGGAUGGACAUUUUACGACAAUGCUGGUUAGAUGCCAGACAAACAGAAACAAAAAAUAAGCACAAGGUUUCUUAGACAAACAAGCCUUGUCUGGUGAGCAUGUGGCUCGACACAGAAACAAGUGUCCUCCUUGUCCCUUCGAUGGAGGGAGCAGCUUCAGUGCCAUCGGCUCUGCAGAAACCUCACUGACUCAGAAAACGGAAGAAUGUGGCCAGCAAGAAACACAUUUUCAACAAGCUGAGCAAACAUGGCUUUGACGUCAGGGAGGGAGUAUAUACAUGGGUAACAAAGGAGACGUGCACACAUGGGGAUUUUUGUGGUACCUGGGCGGCUGCCCAGAGCACUAAAUCCUGGAGUUGAGAAUCCCUUUGAAGACCCUUCACAACGCUUGGGAAUUUCAAAGAAUAUCAUCAUAACUCAAAAAACCCUCCAAAUGUCAUUUUACCUUGUUCUUCUGCCUCCCCGUUGUGCUGGCUGUCCCCAGUGACAGAAUGCAGCCCAGCCAUUGCCUGAGGGAGGGGGUGGGUUGCCACAGAUGUGCACAUCUGGAUCACCUGCUGCUAACCCAUCAGGCCCCAGCUUCCCUGUGGCUUUGGCUUCCACAUGACAUUUCUGGGGGGUGGCCUCUUCUCUGAGGUAACUGAAUCUGUUAGAAUGAGGGUUUUAACUAUUGAUUAAAACAUUAAACAUUAAAACAUUCCAUAAUAUUCAGGCUGACCAGUAAACUACAUUUGGGGGGAUGGAAUCUUCCUUGUUUCCUCAUAUGGGAAAAGCAACUCUUGGAUUGUAGUCCUUAUAAUGUAUUUGAAAGUGGAGAAUCCUUAGCAGGGGGUGUUGGGAGAUCUAAAGGAGUCUUUCCACAUUCUCCUAUUAUAUAAGUAAUUUCAGCAAAAGGCAAUUUUGAUUCUCACUCUAAUUCUACCUUCCCUCUGUGGGUUUUCCACACAGUUCCUCUAAAUACAAAGGGAAAUCCAAUAUCUACAUGGUGACUUUCAACCCUGUCCUGCCGUAUUGGGUUCCCUUGUUUUUAAUCAUUAAAUAGUGAGUAUACAAUGACACUGCACAUCUGUUUCUGGUCUGGGAAGAUCAGUAAGGAUGGGGUGAUUGAGAGCUACAUUAGGUGAAGCAAUUACAAAGAAAUGUUAAAAAGUGGAAGUGUACCAUUUCCCCCAUUUUAUCUAAUACAUCCAACAUCUGGGACAGGAUGACGUGAAGCUCAGUUGAUGUAGUAGAGUGGGGGUGGUGACUUUUGGUGGUGCAUUAAAGUUGAGCAAAUGGUACACUCUGCAAUAACCUAGCUGUAAAGAUCGCCUGCUGGGAGAGGUGUCUAUGAGUGAUGGCAAAACCCAUUGGAAUUUGAUGGCUGAGUUUGCCCCUGUGUGACUUUGAAUAUGUGAUUGCUUCUUUACGUUUUGUCUUUUAAAACAAUCUGGCAUUUAAUUACAAUUUGGCAUUCCCCUUUGAUGAUUUUCCUUUAUAUGGGCUUCCGCCUAUCUAAAAGGGUCUAGGUAAUGUUUUAAAGCACCAGACUUAUUUCCAACAAGUAGCUUAAGCACGAGCAGAAACUGGCAUAUUAAUAUUAAACCCAAUGGAAAUGCAAUUUUUUAGUUUGAAGAAUAAACAUAUGUUGGGAAUUGCAUAAGUCAAAGUCCUCCAAGCAAGGUUAAGUUGCUCUUUAAUACAUUGAGUGUACAUAUUUAGAAGUCUGGGGAUUUACAAUCCGCGAGAGGACUAUAACUUUCUCUUUUUCUGAUUUGGUGUGUGUAAAUUUGUAGUGCAAGUGUUUCAUUUCUCUAGACAUUUGCAUUUAAUUUGCUGCUGAUUUUAAUGUGAAAAAAGGAAAAAAAAUUUAAGGUAAGGAAAUCAUGUUCCAGGAUGAAUGCAUUACGUUUUGAGGACUAUGCUGAGUUUUUUCAGUUGUGUGUUGUAACAAAGCUGUAACCUCAGGGAAGUAUAUGUAACACCCUGCUCAGAACAUCUAGUUUGACCUUAAAGUAUUUCCAAAGAUUCCAAAUAGUCAAAGAGCCCCAUGCUGCCUUAAAACAUAAUACUCCAUCUCGAUCUAUACCUUCUUUCAUUUUUUAGAAGUACAGUCUGCCAUUUUCAACCUUAGUUCUUAUGAUCCUUUUUCUAGAUCACAGCUGGCUUCCCCUUGUGAUAAGAAUGGCAACAUGUAUAAUUUUUCCUUUGGUCUCUCACUUGUCUCUUUUGUACUGUUUUCCUUUUUUUUUUUUUUUUAACUCACCACUUCGAGAAACUUAAAGAGGGAGGGAAAACAAAUAAUUAGAAGAAAGUGGUGUAAUGCUGAAAUGACAUUUAGGUUUGGGGGACUUACAGACUGCCUUUGGGAAAACCUGGAAAUCCUUAUACAUUCAAGAGUUGACUCCAGAAAGAUUUUUUAGCUAUUAGAACCAGUCCCUUGGAGAUGGGUCUGGCAGUGACCCAAAGACAGAAAUCAUAGAACUUGUGGCAUCUUCUCUAGUUUAAGGCAGCACACACGGUGGAAGUCAGACCUGCAGUCUGUCAGGUUGUGCUAGUGUAGGGAUUCAGGAUGUGGCCACUCUGGGCUUCACUAAUCAGACACGCUGCACACAGGACAGCCUAUCAUGGGGUGAGGAUAAAAAUAGAGAGAAAAAGGACACAUUUCUGUUGUUGCUGUUUACAGAACCCAAUUCCUUGGUCUUCAAAGGUCUUAGCCUCAUAAAGCUGUAGGUUGUUGUUUUUCAUUUAAUCCCCCAGAAGAAUGUGGAGGGGGAAAUAUUACAAACACCCUCUGCUUUGGCAUUGUUUGAUUUUUUUAAAAAAAAUUAAUAAAAACAGUUCCUAGCAGCUGGUUGAAACAAUUAUGCUCUUCACAAAAGCCUUUGCAGAUGACACCGAAUGUUAAGAAAAUAAUUCUUUCAAUUAGUGUGUGGCCAGUGCACCUGUGAACUAGAAUCAUCCAAGGAACCAUAUCCGCGAAUGUCAGUAAGAACAAUUCAGGAAUUCAUCCCCUCUGCCUUUUUCUAUGUCCACGUUCACACAGAUGUUAAUCCUGUGGUGCAGAUGCUGUAAGGGCCGCCCACCUCUAAUCCCAGGAGCAUGAGAAUCAUGAGUUCAGAUCAGGAAAACUAUUAAUUUCUAACUGUCUGCUAUCAGUAUCACUUCUCCUUGUUUUUAGGGCUGCUUCUUUUUUAUGUCUUUCUGAAACUGUAACACGUAAUCCAUUGGUUCUUGUGCAGAGUUGGCUUUUGGGUACAGUGGCAAUUUACCACGAUCUUAUUCCUCAAAAACAUUUAUUGAACACCCCAUGUGCGCAGCAUUGUGUUUGGUUGUAGGGAUAUAAACGUGAAUAAGACCUAACUUCUGUCUUGGAAAUGCUUAUCAUUUUGCUUCAAUCAGCUGUAGUUCUAUGUUAUAUCAUAUCACUGUCCUGUGUUUUUCAGGGUUCCUUUUUGGUCUGUGGGAGUAAACGGGAGUUUUGCCUUGUGUAUUAAUUAUUGAAUUGCUAGGUAACAAACCAUCUCCAAAUUAAUGGCUUAAAACAACUAUGAUUUCUUAGUGCUCACGAGUAUAUUAUGGAUGGGCUUGAGCAUUGUGCUGACCUGGCCAGCUCGGACGAACUUGGCAGGGCUUACACUGUCAUCUGUCAUCAGCUGAUGGUUCAGUGGGGACUGACGCAGUCUAGGGUGGUCUCACUUCCACGCCCAGUGAUUGGCUGGCUCUUGGUUGGAGUGAUGGGGUUGACUGGGCCACAUUGUCUCUCAUCAUCUGGAGAGCUAGCCCAGGCUCAUGUGAAGAGUGAUGACAGGUUUCCAAGGAAGCCAGCAGCAGCAUGCAAGACUGCUGAGGACUUAGGCUGACAAAUGGUACAAAGUCCCUUCCUCUGUAUUCUGUUGGCCAAAACAAGUCAUAAGGCCAUUUCAGAUUCAAGAGCUGGAAAGUCACAUAAUAAAGAGUAUGGAUGCGGGACAGAGUGAAGAAUUGGACCUAUUUUUGCAACCACAUCCUUUUUAUUCUUUAUGAUGGUCUAGAAAGCAACCUGUCAUAUCCUUACACCUUAUUGAAUUAUAUGAACCUUGCCCAUGAAUCAGUUUGUCUCUGACAGUAACCUGGAUCUACCUUAAUGUGUAUGCAUCAUCAUCUCUAAGGCAAUAUUAUAGAUUAGGAAAAAAUCUGUGUUAAAAAAGAGGGUGAAGGACACGUUGCAGAAAAAUUUCUCAAAUCUUUCAAUAUGUUUGUGUGCCUGUGAAUGGUUUUUGCAUUUCCUAAUCUUAUUUGAUCGUAUCUUCAAGGGGUCGCGUGUGAUCCAAGGAUCAGUUGGCGGAAAAUGGUGUUUCAAGUUGUGUUUCCAGUCUUGGGCAUUCACCUAUGAAGUGCAAGCUGUGGCAAGAAUCAACCUUCUAGAUCAAAGGGAUAUAAUGACAAAAGAAAAGGACGAAGUAUCCCCAGAGUAAGAAAUUCCAGACCAAAAUCAAGGCUGGACAGCUUCAUGGAUUAGCAUCUAUUAGAUGUUUCAUACCUGGAGCUUAUACCGUAAAGUAGCAUGGUCAACACACCAGCUCUUACACUAGCAUAAGGACUACACCUGCAUACUCUUGAUUUACUUUAAUGUUUUCUUUCCUACCCCAAGACUGGAAAAAGCACCAGUUUUGAGAUUGUGUCUGAUUUUUCAUCCCUUGUGUGUUCCUACAGCUUUUUCCUUCUAUGAGUCUUUAAUAAAAUGGCUGAACACAUUUA